rnacentral:lncRNA from 1 species
UUUUUUCCUGUUUCAUUGUUUUUCUUAUAAUCUCUUUUCCUUUAUUAUUCCUUUCACUGAUUAAGAAGUAAAUGAAUGAUUUCUGUAUGAUAGCUUAAAUUCAUUAUUUGUCUUCAAAACCAGUCUACCAUUGAUAUUUUAAUAUGAAAAUUACACACAAGAAAUUUGAAAAAGAGAAAAAUGUAAAGAAAACACAAGUCACUAGAAGAUGUGACACAGAGUGGCCAUGUUUCACGGACUUUUUCCGAUCGUUUCUCUGUAUAUGCGCUUUAGAAAGAAUCAGCCACAUCAAGAUAAUGCUGUAUGGACACAAUCUUGAGUCUUGAAUUUCCCCCCUUAAUCAUGAGCGUGUUUUCCAGUAAAACCAGUUACAUGCCUACAUAAUGUAGCGUUAUAUAGUCACUUAUAACUAUUAUAUCUAUUUAAGCUACUGCCGUGUUUUACACAGUUUUUCUGAAUUUCUGACUGCUUUUUCAGAUCGGUGCCGGAAAGGGACUGUGCUUUUCUGGUUUCCUCUCAAGAAAGGCGUUUCCAGAGGGUGGGCGAUGCUCCGUCCUCUGAGCUCAGCAGGGCCUGCACACCAGGCACAAGGGGAGACGGCGACCAGCCGUGGUGCUAACAGCCCCGGCCCUGUGGACGGCUCCGGCCCUUCUCUGGCCGUCCUGGGAGGGCCGUCCAGGAGCACCGCGUUCCCGUCAAAUGCUGGUUCAGGUCUUGGCUCUGUCAUUAGUAGUGGGGACGGUGGCCAAGUAAUUUCCUUAUUUUCCUCGUCCUUCCGGGGGCUGCUGUGGGGCGGGGGUGGCAGGAUGCAGGCACGUGCUGCCCAGCAGCUCGGGGAGCAUUGGAGUGAGAGGCAGCCGCUCCGAUCUGUUCAUCCUCCGAGGUGGUUCUUUCUCACACACACACACUCACACACACACACACUCCUUAAUUCUUUUCUUUUCUUUCUUUUUUUUUUCUUUUUUUUGUAAAGUUUAGACUUUGGUAACUUUUCUCAGCUCGUUGCAUUUUCAAUUAGAUAAAGUUUUCCUUACUUUUAUCCUCCGGCGUUAUUUUUGGCGUCACCUCAUUGCCGCUUUAUUACAAGAAGGCGUUGACUUUGAUCAAGGCCUCGGAUCUGUUCUGACUCACAGUGGAGACGGUCGUGUUGGUGCCCCCGGGCCUGUGAACCGGGCAGCUGAACGGGUGGCUUCAGCCGGGGAGGGGAGGUGGGCGUGAUGGGACCAGGUGGGACCAGCCCUGUGGCCAAGUCAGCGCCUCCCAGAGGGGCCCAUGUCCAGGCUGCGAGCAACCAGCCAGGUGGGGAGCCCUGAGGAGGCCACUCCCGGGGAAGAGAGAGCAAAUGGGGAACUCGGGGAGGAGGGGUCAAGGCCCUGUGGAUCUGACCCCCAAGCUCCCCAUCGGGAGGCGCAGAGCCUGGGGGCGCUGAGACACAUCCCGCCACCCCGUGCCCGCCUAGAACUGGCCCGGCUUCCCUCUCUCCCUGAACUUCUCUGGUGGACUGUGGCCAGAUUGCCUGGUACUCCGUGUGCCUUGUGCUGCGUGCUUCUGUCAGGCUCCUGGGGGUCCCGGGGGCCGGGGUCGGGGUCGGGUCAGCGACACACGAUGAGCCCUGCUGACCGCACAGCAAAGGCGGCUCUGACAGCAGGUGGAAGGUUGAACUCCUGUCUCGGCUCAGCGGCUUUCCCCAGAUUCGCAGGUCGAUGGUCUAACCCUGCACUUUGGGAGGAGACUGAACUUGGACGCGGUCUGCAUAGGGGCAGCUGGGGAGGGUCCAGCGUCCUCACAGGGAGAGAAGCCCUGGGCGCAGGAGGGACAGAGACGGGAAGCCCAUAAAUGUCAGGUGAGUCCCCCCACCCGCGCCUGUGGGCUCCACACAGCGCCACAGACCGGUGCACCAACCAGCCACCGCUGUCCUCCCUGGGUCACUGCAAUAGCACUCUUGGACAAAGUGACCUCUCGGCGGUCACUGUGCAGCCGAGCAGCCAGAGUGCUGGUUAGGUGUGCACGCAUCUCCCUGCUGCAAUGCCCCUUUGCUGGAUUCUCAGAGGACCCGAAUCCUGGCCGUGGCUUCCAGCUCCCCCUGCCCCCCACCGCCGGGACCAGUGCACACCUGCCCCUCACCCUCAUCGCCCCCUUUGCCUCAGCUCCGUGCGUGCCAGGUGCCACCAAACGUCCCUUCCUGUGCGCGGGGGGCAGGGGGGCUGUUGUGUGACCACCUUCCUCCUCGAACGUCCAUUUCAUGUCACAGCGUAACUGCAAUUACUGUAAAUAAGAAAUUGUGAAAUUGGUUAUUCUGGUGUGUUUUCCCCCUAAAUCUGUGCUAGUUGUCGGAAAUAUGCUCUAAUCUGUGCUGUUGCAUUUGGUCGCCCCUCGCCACGUGUGAGUUCUGGGAUGCGGCUGGUGCCAGGUGUGGUCUUAUUCACUUAAACUGAAACUCAAGUAGCCGCGUAAGGCCACCACCCCUGUGUUGGCUGCGCUUCGAUGGACACAGGCUGCCUGCGCGUUGGUUCUCUCUCCUCGCCAAGCGCCGGAGAAUGCAGAAGUGAACUGCACUAAGUGAACCUGAGCAAGGAGGCUGUGUGUUUCACACCAGCAGUCCUGUACGCAGACCGCGGCUCUGACUGGUCCUCAGACUCAGCAGAACAGACUCUGCUCCUCGUCCUCUGGGUCACUGGUGAGAAGUUUCCAGGACACCCUGGGCGGUGUAUCCACUGGUUAAAAUCCACUAACCUGCCCACGUGGCGCCUUGACGGGAAUUGCAAGACCCAAUACUUUUUAGACCAAGAAUGGCAUUGUUACUGCAAUAAGGGCAAAAGGAAAGUUGAAGAGUUUCCAUUGUGGCUCAAGGGGUUGAGGACCUGCUGUUGUCUCUGUGAGGUUGUGGGUUCAAUCCCGGGUCCCACUCGAUGGGUUAAGGAUCCGGUGUUGCCGUGGCUGUGGCACAGGCUGGCCAUUACGGCUCCAAUCCAACCUCUAGCCCGGAAACUUCCAUAUGCUGCGGGUGAGGCCCUAAAAAGAAAAAUAAAAGAAAAAAAAGAAAAUUUAAAAGGAAUGAGAGACUGCUAACUAGGUAAAAACUCGAAAAAGCGAAUACAGUUCUUCAAAGGCGGGGACAAAAUUGUUGGCUCGCAUCAAAGAUGGAUAAAAAGCAAAGCCAGUUUUGAACAGCGGGGUCGAGUCAGCGCAGGCGCCUAGAGCGAGCUCUCCGCGGGGAUCGUGAGCAGGCUCCACAGUGGGGUCCCCACCGGAGCCCAGACCGUAACCCCCCCGUAAGGACAGAGCUAAUUUCUAAGGAGCUGACCACACACCGUCAGGACAUUCAGUUGAACUUGAGUUUCAGAUAAAGAAGUUCAAUCCUCUCUGAAAAUGACCUGCAUUUCGUGUAUUUUAUUUACUAACUCUUAUAACCCUACUUCAAACACAUGGGAAGAAAGCCUCAGAAGAUGAAAGUGGGCCGAUCCAGGGCCUCUAUGUUGUGACCUAGAGUUCAAGGCCAAGGCCUCUGAGCAUUCUCCCUUUCUUGCCUCUUUGCGUCUCUUUGCCAGAAACUCCAUCUUUUCUGCCCGGCUUGCGCCACUUGAUCUAAGCCCAGUUUCAGCAUCUUUCAGAGUUUUUGUUCCUGUGCUGAACAAUGACUUUAGAGUGUAAGCAGCAGAAAAAAGACCGCAGCCAGACGGCCUGUGAGUCCCUGAGGAUAAGAGCUGGGUGUUGAACAGACUCCAGAGUCUCCCACGGUGCCCGGUUCAGAGCAGGCCAUCCGUUGACACUGGCCCUUUCCUUUGGCGUAUUGGAGAUGCGGCCGGGGGGACAGUACUGUCGCCAGUGGGACCGUGUAUGGUUCCUUCUUUUCCCAUUGUUUCCACGUGCCUCGUGUAUAAGUGGCUCUCAAUAAAUACUCAACGAGUAGAACUGAACUGAGUUCAGACCUUGUGACUCCUCUUUCUACUAGGGUGGAGGUUUCUCGGGACACAUGUAUAGUUUGCGUCUCGUGGGCAUCAGGAUUUGCUGCAUACCUCAUAACCACUCUUAUUUCCUGAUUUUUGCCCUUUCGUUCCUCUGGGUUUCUUGUUCUCGGUACGCAAGGCUCGCUGGUGUGACAGGUCUUGGCGUGAGCAAUUCCAAACCUCGAAGCUCUCUCUUCAUCCCGCCAGUGCGAUUCCGUGAGCACUUGCGAUUCCGGCUGAGCCCGGAAGGUGGAUGCAAGUGACGCAGACAAGGUGGAAAUGGACAGAGUGACGUCUGAGGGACCCCAGCCAGCACUCCCGCCCGGCCUGCCUCCAGCUCACCAACUCCCUCCUGGGUCUCCACGCUCCCCGAGUCAGCUCACGACGGGUCGCAGGGCUGUCCCCAUGGGCGGAGCUGGGGUCUGUCCCCAGUCAGCCUCCGGCCUCUCCAGGUGGAUGGCACCCAAGCCCUGGCAACCAUCAUUUUCCCAAACAGUGUGCCUACGUUUGGAUCCGAUCUUAUAUCCCCUGAAAAUGAUCCUACGUGUAAACCUCGUAAAAUCUCUAACAUCUUUGGAUUUUCCACACAAAGUUCAAAUCCAAGAAUUCUAGCUUGAGCACGACCCCUUUAAUGAAAUUAAGGUUGGGAGGAACAGUAAGAAUGCUAGUUGUCCAGGUGGAAGAAUGUUUGGGUUUAAGGUAUGCGCACUCUUUCCUGGACCUCUAGGGUAGAUUUUAUGGUUUUAAUCAAAAGGAUAAGCUGAAAUUUCAGGAUAAUGCUGAGAGAAGGUCCAUUGAACUGCAUUCUUCAAAUAUGAACCACAGCCAAUCACUCUACAAUCCCUACACUGUAAAAUUUUAUGUCUCUGCUCCAGCUAACUUUCCACCGCCCAAACUCUUGGCUGGACAUGCACGUUUUCUCCGUGAUGAAUUCUCUUUCUUGGCUGGUCACGCUGGAUUUAGCAAAGGCUGGGAAGUGACCACCUCUGCCAGCCGCUCCCCCAUGAGGUCAUUUCUGAUGCUAUCUCGGCCUCUCUCAUCAUGUCCUGGGCCCCCCUCACUGCGUCCCGCCCGCCAAGGGACCUGCUGGGACCCAUCCAGGCAGCCCAUCAGACCUUCGCGCCUGCCGGCUGAGUCCGGAACCUGAGCUGAGGGCUGCAGGAAGCCCCCGAGUCAGCCCAGGAGAGAGGAGGAGGUGCUGCCCCCAGCGCCUGUCCAGGUGCCUCCCUGGGCGGGAAGGUUUUCUGAGGAGCAGGUGGACUCCCUCCUUGCUCGCAAAGAGCCGUGGCUUCGGGGACGGGCCCCGCAUUCCCCUCCUUCCCGCGUGGCCGUCACCCCACGUUUACCCCGUGAAGCAGGAAGAAACUGGGUGGGGACAUUCAAGGGUUUUCAGGUUUUGCCAGUGGACAAAGCACAUAGGAAUGUUCUAGGGACUGAGGCGUUCCCGUCAUGGCGCAGCGGAAACAAAUCCAACUAGGAACCAUGAGGUUGCAGGUUCGAUCCCUGGCCUCGCUCAGUGGGUUAAGGAUCCAGCGUUGCUAUGAGCUGCGGUGUAGGUCUCGGAUGCGUUUCUGCUGCGCCACGAUGGGAACUCCCCUCGCUGAAUAUUUUAAAGUUUAACAGCUCAAAGUCUUCUCUCUGAGAGUGCUGCUGGUCUGUCCAGAGAAGCACUGACACAUUCCAGGAACCCCUGGCCGGACGGCGUCGUCACACCGACGCCCUCCCUGAACGGAAGACGCCUGAACACAGCCCGGCAGAGCAGCGCGUCCAGGCGUGUUU